rnacentral:rRNA from 1 species
AUUGAACGCUGGCGGCAGGCCUAACACAUGCAAGUCGAACGAGUGGCGGACGGGUGAGUAAUGUCUGGGAAACUGCCCGAUGGAGGGGGAUAACUACUGGAAACGGUAGCUAAUACAGCAUACCAUCGGAUGUGCCCCGAUGGGAUUAGCUAGUAGGGGGGGUAACGGCGCACCAAGGCGACGAGCCCUAGCUGGUCUGAGAGGAUGACCAGACACACUGGAACGUGUCCACGGUCCAGCCUCCUACGGUCGGCAGCAGUGGGGAAUAUUGCUCAAUGGGCGCAAGCCUGAUGCAGCCAUGCCGCGUGUAUGAAGAAGGCCUUCGGGUUGUAAAGUACUUUCAGCGGUGAGGCGUUACCCGCAGAAGAAGCACCGGCUAACUCCGUGCCAGCAGCCGCGGUAAUUC